rnacentral:lncRNA from 1 species
GGGGCUCAUAUUCAGGGACUAACUCUGCCAGCUGUGUGGUGAGAGGGAGCUGCCACCGCUUGAUCUGUUCAUCUGUAAUGAGGGAGUCUUAGAAGCUUCACUCACCACAGUGAACUGUUGUAGGAGUUAAAGGGAGGCGUCUACAAAGCAUGCUGGGAACUGAAAAGGCCUUUCUGUAGAAUGAAGCAACAUUUUCAAAACUUACGAUUUAAGCCACAUUUCACUCUUGGGCAGAUGAAAUAAAUGACUGGCUGACAGGAGCAUGGAGGAGGAGGAGGAGGAGGAGGCAACCAGAAGAGGGAGCAGUUACAUCAACUCAUACUCCUGCUCCUGAGAAAGCCCUCGGGCUCAUAGAAGGAAUAGACCAACAGAUUCAUGUGCUGGGCGCUUGGGAUGAAGCCACAAAUCCUGUAUGUUUCUCUAUUUCAUAGAAGAAGAAGGUUUUCAAUUACAAAGAGGCUUGCUGUCAAAGCAAUAUGACCACCUAGCUGGCUGUUCAUUCUGCCAACCUGCCUUCCUUGCCGUGAUGUAAUAAAUCCUCAUGAAUUGCAAACUAGAAUAAACCCUCAUUCCUUCUUC